UACAGAGGUCUCAAGCGUUGUUCGGAUUCAUUGGGCGUAAAGGGCGCGUAGGCGGCCACCGCAAGUCAAUUGUGAAAUCUCCGGGCUUAACUCGGAAAGGUCAACUGAUACUGCGGGGCUAGAGUGCGGAAGGGGCAACUGGAAUUCUCGGUGUAGCGGUGAAAUGCGUAGAUAUCGAGAGGAACACCUGCGGCGAAGGCGGGUUGCUGGGCCGACACUGACGCUGAGGCGCGAAAGCCAGGGGAGCGAACGGG
rnacentral:rRNA from 1 species